ACGAACGCUGGCGGCGUGCUUCACACCUUCAAGUCGCACCGUGAAGCGCCUUCCUUUUUGGUGGGUGUGGAUGAGUGGCGAACGUGUGAGUAACACGUGAGUAACCUGCCCCCUUCUUCUGGAUAACCGCAUGAAAGUGUGGCUCAUACGGGAUAUUCUGGGUCUGUCGCAUGAUUGGUCUGGGCAAGAUAUUGUUUCGGUGGGGGCUGGGCUCGCGGCCUAUCAGGUUGUUGGUGGGUUGAUGGCCUACCAAGGCGGUGACGGGUAGCCGGCCUGAGAGGGUGGACGGUCACAAGGGGAAGGAGAAGCGGCGAAGACUCCGACAGGAGGCAGCGGUGAGGAAUAUAGCACAAGGGGAGGAAGCAUGAUGCAGCGACGCCGCGGGGGGGAUGGCGGACGUGGGGUAGUGAACCUCUUUCGCGAGUGAAGCAGGCUUGCCACGUUUGUGGGUGGGUUGAAGGUAGCUGGAGAAGAAGCGCCGGCUAACUACGUG
rnacentral:rRNA from 1 species